rnacentral:rRNA from 1 species
UACGGAGGGAGCUAGCGUUGUUCGGAAUUACUGGGCGUAAAGCGCACGUAGGCGGCUACUCAAGUCAGAGGUGAAAGCCCAGGACUCAACCCUGGAACUGCCUUUGAAACUAGGUAGCUAGAAUCUUGGAGAGGUCAGUGGAAUUCCGAGUGUAGAGGUGAAAUUCGUAGAUAUUCGGAAGAACACCAGUGGCGAAGGCGGUUCUCUGGGACGGUACUGACGCUGAGACGCGAAAGCGUGGGGAGCGAACAGG